rnacentral:rRNA from 1 species
GACGUAGGGCGCGAGCGUUGUCCGGAUUUAUUGGGCGUAAAGAGCUCGUAGGCGGCUUGUCGCGUCGAAUGUGAAAUCUCAGGGCUCAACUCUGACAUUGCAUUCGAUACGGGCAGGCUAGAGUUCGGUAGGGGAGACUGGAAUUCCUGGUGUAGCGGUGAAAUGCGCAGAUAUCAGGAGGAACACCGGUGGCGAAGGCGGGUCUCUGGGCCAUUACUGACGCUGAGGAGCGAAAGCGUGGGGAGCGAACAGG